rnacentral:rRNA from 1 species
GACGAACGCUGGCGGCGUGCCUAAUACAUGCAAGUUGAGCGCUGAAGGUUGGUACUUGUACCAACUGGAUGAGCAGCGAACGGGUGAGUAACGCGUGGGGAAUCUGCCUUUGAGCGGGGGCCAACAUUUGGAAACGAAUGCUAAUACCGCAUAAAAACUUUAAACACAAGUUUUAAGUUUGAAAGAUGCAAUUGCAUCACUCAAAGAUGAUCCCGCGUUGUAUUAGCUAGUUGGUGAGGUAAAGGCUCACCAAGGCGAUGAUACAUAGCCGACCUGAGAGGGUGAUCGGCCACAUUGGGACUGAGACACGGCCCAAACUCCUACGGGAGGCAGCAGUAGGGAAUCUUCGGCAAUGGACGAAAGUCUGACCGAGCAACGCCGCGUGAGUGAAGAAGGUUUUCGGAUCGUAAAACUCUGUUGGUAGAGAAGAACGUUGGUGAGAGUGGAAAGCUCAUCAAGUGACGGUAACUACCCAGAAAGGGACGGCUAACUACGUG